rnacentral:rRNA from 1 species
AGAGUUUGAUCCUGGCUCAGGAUGAACGCUAGCGACAGGCCUAACACAUGCAAGUCGAGGGGCAGCGGGGAGGUAGCAAUACCUUUGCCGGCGACCGGCGCACGGGUGAGUAACACGUAUGCAAUCCACCUGUAACAGGGGGAUAACCCGGAGAAAUCCGGACUAAUACCCCAUAAUAUGGGCGCUCCGCAUGGAGAGUCCAUUAAAGAGAGCAAUCUUGGUUACAGACGAGCAUGCGCUCCAUUAGCCAGUUGGCGGGGUAACGGCCCACCAAGGCGACGAUGGAUAGGGGUUCUGAGAGGAAGGUCCCCCACAUUGGAACUGAGACACGGUCCAAACUCCUACGGGAGGCAGCAGUGAGGAAUAUUGGUCAAUGGUCGGCAGACUGAACCAGCCAAGUCGCGUGAGGGAAGACGGCCCUACGGGUUGUAAACCUCUUUUGUCGGAGAGUAAAGUACGCUACGUGUAGUGUAUUGCAAGUAUCCGAAGAAAAAGCAUCGGCUAACUCCGUGCCAGCAGCCGCGGUAAUACGGAGGAUGCGAGCGUUAUCCGGAUUUAUUGGGUUUAAAGGGUGCGUAGGCGGCACGCCAAGUCAGCGGUGAAAUUUCCGGGCUCAACCCGGACUGUGCCGUUGAAACUGGCGAGCUAGAGUGCACAAGAGGCAGGCGGAAUGCGUGGUGUAGCGGUGAAAUGCAUAGAUAUCACGCAGAACCCCGAUUGCGAAGGCAGCCUGCCAAGCCAUGACUGACGCUGAUGCACGAAAGCGUGGGGAUCAAACAGGAUUAGAUACCCUGGUAGUCCACGCAGUAAACGAUGAUCACUAGCUGUUUGCGAUACACUGUAAGCGGCACAGCGAAAGCGUUAAGUGAUCCACCUGGGGAGUACGCCGGCAACGGUGAAACUCAAAGGAAUUGACGGGGGCCC